AUUGAACGCUGGCGGCAGGCCUAACACAUGCAAGUCGAGCGGUAGCACAGAGAGCUUGCUCUCGGGUGACGAGCGGCGGACGGGUGAGUAAUGUCUGGGAAACUGCCUGAUGGAGGGGGAUAACUACUGGAAACGGUAGCUAAUACCGCAUAAUGUCGCAAGACCAAAGUGAGGGACCUUCGGGCCUCAUGCCAUCAGAUGUGCCCAGAUGGGAUUAGCUAGUAGGUGGGGUAACGGCUCACCUAGGCGACGAGCCCUAGCUGGUCUGAGAGGAUGAACAGCCACACUGGAACUGAGACCCGGUACAGACUCCUACGGGAGGCAGCAGUGGGGAAUAUUGCACAAUGGGCGCAAGCCGGAUGCAGCCCUGCCGCGUGUAUGAAGAAGGCCUUCGGGUUGUAAAGUACUGUCAGCGGGGAGGAAGGCGAUAAGGUUAAUAACCUUGUCGAUUGACGUUACCCGCAGAAGAAGCACCGGCUAACUCCGUGCCAGCCGCCGCCGUAA
rnacentral:rRNA from 1 species